rnacentral:rRNA from 1 species
GGACUACCCGGGUAUCUAAUCCCAUUCGCGACCCACGCUUUCGUGUUUCAGCGUCAGGAGCGGUCCAGUCUCUUGCCUUCGCUUUUGGUGUUCCCCUAGAUAUCAACGCAUUUCACCGCUACACCUAGAGUUCCAGAGACCUCUACCGUCCUCUUAGUCGUGCCGUUUCCCGCGCGGGCCCUCGGUUGAGCCGAAGGAUUUUACGCGAGACUAACACAACCGCCUACACACCCUUUACGCCCAAUGAUUCCGGAUAACGCUUGAGGCACUCGUAUUACCGCGGCGGCUGGCAC